rnacentral:rRNA from 1 species
ACGAACGCUGGCGGCGUGCCUAAUACAUGCAAGUCGAGCGAGCUUGCCUAGAUGAAUUUGGUGCUUGCACCAGAUGAAACUAGAUACAAGCGAGCGGCGGACGGGUGAGUAACACGUGGGUAACCUGCCCAAGAGACUGGGAUAACACCUGGAAACAGAUGCUAAUACCGGAUAACAACACUAGACGCAUGUCUAGAGUUUAAAAGAUGGUUCUGCUAUCACUCUUGGAUGGACCUGCGGUGCAUUAGCUAGUUGGUAAGGUAACGGCUUACCAAGGCAAUGAUGCAUAGCCGAGUUGAGAGACUGAUCGGCCACAUUGGGACUGAGACACGGCCCAAACUCCUACGGGAGGCAGCAGUAGGGAAUCUUCCACAAUGGACGCAAGUCUGAUGGAGCAACGCCGCGUGAGUGAAGAAGGGUUUCGGCUCGUAAAGCUCUGUUGGUAGUGAAGAAAGAUAGAGGUAGUAACUGGCCUUUAUUU